GACAGAGGUUGCAAACGUUUGUUCGGAAUUACUGGGCAUAAAGCGCACGUAGGUGGUCCGCUAAGUCGCGUGUGAAAUGCCCCGGCUCAACCGGGGAAUUGCGCGCGAUACUGGCGGGCUUGAGGUCGGGAGGGGUGAGUGGAACUCCUGGUGGAGCGGUGAAAUGCGUAGAUAUCAGGAGGAACACCGGUGGCGAAAGCGACUCACUGGCCCGAAUCUGACACUGAGGUGACGAAAGCUAGGGUAGCAAACGGG
rnacentral:rRNA from 1 species